rfam:Camelus ferus unplaced genomic scaffold scaffold172, whole genome shotgun sequence.
GAGGGUAUAGCUCAGUGAUAGAAUGUGUGCUUAGCAUGCACAGGGUCCUGGGUUCAAUCCCCAGUACCUCCA